rnacentral:rRNA from 1 species
CGCUCUUUGAAAAACUUUUAUAAAGAGUCGAGCCUGCCCAGUGAUAAAAUUUAACGGCCGCGGUACUCUGACCGUGCAAAGGUAGCAUAAUCAUUUGCCCUAUAAUUGAGGGCUUGUAUGAAUGGUUUGACAAGAGUAAAGCUGUCUCUGUAAAUUUUUAUAAAAUUUGGUUUUCAGGUGAAGAAACCUGAAUAAAAUUGAAAGACAAGAAGACCCUAUCGAGCUUUAAAUAAAUUUAUUAAAUAAUAUAAAUAAAUACAUUAAAUUUAAUAAAAAAAUUUUGGUUGGGGCGACUAAGGAACAAAAAAAGCUUCUUUUAUUACAUAUAAAUUAAACUUUUUAGUAAUGAUCCAAUACAGUUGAUUAAAAGAAUUAGUUACCGUAGGGAUAACAGCAUAAUCUUUUUUGAGAGCUCUUAUCGAAAAAAAGGUUUGUGACCUCGAUGUUGGACUAGGAUAUCCUGAAAGAUGCAGAAGUCUUCAAAGGUUGGUCUGUUCGACCACUAAUAUCCU